rnacentral:lncRNA from 1 species
ACUUCAAUCUUGAAAAUGACCUAGAAUGGAAUUGAUAAUUCUGAUUCUUUUAUUCCAUUCCAGAAUUCACACAGUAUUAUUCAUCUCAAGGGACAAGAAUGCUAAUGCCACUUCCCUUCACACGAACAGAAAAGAAUACAUUACAGAAGGCACAUAGCUGAGUGAGAAUUGAGGUUGUGCUAAAUUCAAGCUGAGAGAUGUGGAUUCCUCAGACCAUACAGCAUGGAAGAAGAACGGGG